rnacentral:rRNA from 1 species
GACGAACGCUGGCGGCGUGCUUAACACAUGCAAGUCGAACGGAAAGGCCCUGCAUUUGUGGGGUGCUCGAGUGGCGAACGGGUGAGUAACACGUGAGUAACCUGCCCUUGACUUUGGGAUAACUUCAGGAAACUGGGGCUAAUACCGGAUAGGAGCUCCUGCUGAAUGGUGGGGGUUGGAAAGUUUCGGCGGUUGGGGAUGGACUCGCGGCUUAUCAGCUUGUUGGUGGGGUAGUGGCUUACCAAGGCCUUGACGGGUAGCCGGCCUGAGAGGGUGACCGGCCACAUUGGGACUGAGAUACGGCCCAGACUCCUACGGGAGGCAGCAGUGGGGAAUAUUGCACAAUGGGCGGAAGCCUGAUGCAGCGACGCCGCGUGCGGGAUGACGGCCUUCGGGUUGUAAACCGCUUUCGCCUGUGACGAAGCGUGAGUGACGGUAAUGGGUAAAGAAGCACCGGCUAACUACGUG